rnacentral:tRNA from 1 species
GUGGUUAGCUCAGUUGGUAGAGCAUCUGCCUUACAAGCAGAGGGUCAGCGGUUCGAUCCCGUUA